ACUCGUCUGAGCGAGUAUAAAUAGGCUUUUGGCUCAGAGCGAUUCCUGGAGCGCUGUUUCCAGGGAUGUAGCA
rnacentral:ribozyme from 10 species